UACGAAGGGGGCUAGCGUUGUUCGGAAUUACUGGGCGUAAAGCGUGCGCAGGCGGUUUUGUAAGACAGAAGUGAAAUCCCCGGGCUCAACCUGGGAACUGCCUUUGGUGACUGCAAGGCUUGAGUGCGGCAGAGGGGGAGUGGAAUUCCGCGUGUAGCAGUGAAAUGACGUAGAUAUGCGGAGGAACACCGAUGGCGAAGGCAAUCCCCUGGGCCUGCACUGACGCUCAUGCACGAAAGCGUGGGGAGCAAACAGG
rnacentral:rRNA from 1 species